rnacentral:rRNA from 1 species
GUUCCUGGCUCAGGACGAACGCUGGCGGCGUGCCUAAUACAUGCAAGUCGAGCGAAGUUUUUCUGGUGCUUGCACUAGAAAAACUUAGCGGCGAACGGGUGAGUAACACGUAAAGAACCUGCCUCAUAGACUGGGACAACUAUUGGAAACGAUAGCUAAUACCGGAUAACAGCAUUAACUGCAUGGUUGAUGUUUAAAAGUUGGUUAUGCUAACACUAUGAGAUGGCUUUGCGGUGCAUUAG